AACUCUCAACCCCCUUGUUUUGUAAUGAAACGAUUGUGGGCUUGGAUUAUGGCUGCUGCCGGCGUUAUUGUCGACUCGGCUGAAAUAUACGAGCUACCCAUUUUAAGAAAUAGACGGUUUGACUCGGCGUAAUAACAUAUUUCGUUGAGGACGUCACAUUCUUUAACAUUAGUGGUGCUUCUAAUGCGGCAUCUAAACCUAAGC
rnacentral:misc_RNA from 1 species